rnacentral:rRNA from 1 species
UACGUAGGGGGCAAGCGUUGUCCGGAAUUAUUGGGCGUAAAGAGCGCGCAGGCGGUCGUUCAAGUCGCGUGUGAAAGCCCCCGGCUCAACUGGGGAGGGUCACGCGAUACUGAUCGACUCGAAGGCAGGAGAGGGUAGUGGAAUUCCCGGUGUAGUGGUGAAAUGCGUAGAUAUCGGGAGGAACACCAGUGGCGAAGGCGACUACCUGGCCUGUUCUUGACGCUGAGGCGCGAAAGCUAGGGGAGCAAACGGG